rnacentral:rRNA from 1 species
UGGGGAAUAUUGGACAACGGGCGAAAGCCUGAUCCAGCCAUGCCGCGUGUGUGAAGAAGGUCUUCGGAUUGUAAAGCACUUUAAGUUGGGAGGAAGGGCAGUAAGCGAAUACCUUGCUGUUUUGACGUUACCGACAGAAUAAGCACCGGCUAACUCUGUGCCAGCAGCCGCGGUACUACAGAGGGUGCAAGCGUUAAUCGGAAUUACUGGGCGUAAAGCGCGCGUAGGUGGUUCGUUAAGUUGAAUGUGAAAGCCCCGGGCACAACCUGGGAAGUGCAUCCAAAACUGGCGAGAGAGAGUAGAGCAGAGGGUGGUGGAAUUUCCUGGGUGGCGGUGAAAUGCGUAGAAAUAGGAAGGAACACCAGUGGCGAAGGCGACCACCUGGGCUCAUACUGACACUGAGGUGCGAAAGCGUGGAGAGCAAACAGG